AUAAUGUAUCAGGGGAGUUGCCUUUAGCAUCUGAGAAAGUUUUAAACUGACCCUUAUACCUUUCGGAUAAUGCCGGUAUAGGGAGAUAUAUUAUAUUAAGU
rnacentral:ncRNA from 2 species